rnacentral:rRNA from 1 species
UACCCUAAUUGUAUUGGAUUUCUAACCCGCAGCACUUAUCGUGCUGGGAGACAGUGUCAGGCGGGCAGUUUGACUGGGGCGGUCGCCUCCUAAAGAGUAACGGAGGCGCUCAAAGGUUCCCUCAGAAUGGUUGGAAAUCAUUCAUAGAGUGUAAAGGCAUAAGGGAGCUUGACUGCGAGACCUACAAGUCGAGCAGGGUCGAAAGACGGACUUAGUGAUCCGGUGGUUCCGCAUGGAAGGGCCAUCGCUCAACGGAUAAAAGCUACCCCGGGGAUAACAGGCUUAUCUCCCCCAAGAGUUCACAUCGACGGGGAGGUUUGGCACCUCGAUGUCGGCUCAUCGCAUCCUGGGGCUGUAGUCGGUCCCAAGGGUUGGGCUGUUCGCCCAUUAAAGCGGUACGCGAGCUGGGUUCAGAACGUCGUGAGACAGUUCGGUCCCUAUCCGUCGUGGGCGUAGGAAAUUUGAGAGGAGCUGUCCUUAGUACGAGAGGACCGGGAUGGACAUACCUCUGGUGUACCAGUUGUCGUGCCAACGGCAUAGCUGGGUAGCUAUGUAUGGACGGGAUAAGUGCUGAAAGCAUCUAAGCAUGAAGCCCCCCUCGAGAUGAGAUUUCCCAACUUCGGUUAUAAG